CCUACGGGGGGCAGCAGUGAGGAAUAUUGGUCAAUGGGCGAGAGCCUGAACCAGCCAAGUCGCGUGAGGGCAGACGGUCCUAUGGAUUGUAAACCUCUUUUGCCGGGGAGCAAAAAGCGGUACGUGUACCGCAUCGAGAGUACCCGGAGAAAAAGCAUCGGCUAACUCCGUGCCAGCAGCCGCGGUAAUACGGAGGAUGCGAGCGUUAUCCGGAUUUAUUGGGGUUAAAGGGUGCGCAGGCGGCGAGUUAAGUCAGAGGUAAAAUUUCGGGGCUCAACCCCGACAAGCCGUUGAAACUGGGUGGCUAGAGUGGGCGAGAAGUAUGCGGAAUGCGUGGUGUAGCGGUGAAAUGCAUAGAUAUCACGCAGAACUCCGAUUGCGAAGGCAGCAUACCGGCGCCCAACUGACGCUCAGGCACGAAAGCGUGGGUAUCGAACAGGAUUAGAUACCCUAGUAGUC
rnacentral:rRNA from 1 species